rnacentral:lncRNA from 1 species
AGUUUUAUGCCAUCUUUUGUUCUUUCUAGCCAUUGCUCCCUUGUACUUCAUUCCAUUGGAGCACCAAGUGCAAGCAUGGGUUGAGGAGUGGUCCACCCUGUCCAGAAUUUGAGCAUCCUGCAUUGGAAUCAGCUACUGAUGGAUGUCCAUGGUCCCUGCUGUGCCCUCCCAGUAGCUCAUGAAAGCUCUAAUGGGGGCCAAGAGCUGGACUUCCAACAAGAGAAGAUAAAAAUCCUUCAAAAGCUGACCCUUGGCAGUUAGUGAGCCCAGAUCUUUAUGACUUCCUCCGCUGAUGGAGUUACUCCACA